rnacentral:rRNA from 1 species
GACGUAGGGCGCGAGCGUUGUCCGGAUUUAUUGGGCGUAAAGAGCUCGUAGGCGGCUUGUCGCGUCGAAUGUGAAAACUCGGGGCUCAACUCCGAGCUUGCAUUCGAUACGGGCAGGCUAGAGUUCGGUAGGGGAGAUCGGAAUUCCUGGUGUAGCGGUGAAAUGCGCAGAUAUCAGGAGGAACACCGGUGGCGAAGGCGGAUCUCUGGGCCGAUACUGACGCUGAGGAGCGAAAGCGUGGGGAGCGAACAGG